GGACCAUCCCCGAUUAACCCCGUCCCCGACCAUUUUUUGACUUGGGCCAAAUCCCGGACCUGGACCUCGCGUAUUAUCCCCGUCCCCGACUCUAGUCUUCGUCUCCAAACCCUAUCGAGCACUGCAUCAAGCAACCGGCGGCGAAGGACCGGAGGUGAGCGAAGCCGCUGCGGGACAUGCGGAGCAACUUACCGACGGGAGGGGUGGAACAACUUACCGACGGGAGGGGCAGAGCAUCUUAGCGUUGGGAGGGACCGAGGGAUGGAUCCCGCCUAGCCGCUCCCACAUCAGGUCGCCGGCGUUCUUGCAGUCUGACUGGUGCCGCCACCUACUGCCGUUUGGAUCUCCGGUUCCAUUUUCCAAAAGCCUCCGCAGCCACCGCUACCAUCAGUGUGGCACAUAUCGCCGCAGUUUCUACCACUGAUGGCACCUGAGAUGUUUGCUCGCUUCUGAUGUUGAUCUAAAGACUGGGUUUGUUGUUGAUUGGUGCAACUUGUUACAACAUUUUGUAGUGUCAUGGUUGGUCAGAAUUUGGAAUAUUGCCAUGUUCUAUUUGUGGGUCAUGAGAAUUGUGACAACAACUUCUUACAACAUUCUGUAUCCUGGGUUCCGAACUAUCUAUUCUGUAGUCACUGCCGUGUUGGACCUGGUAUUAGUUCAAAUUUCAAUGUCA